rnacentral:rRNA from 1 species
CACCUCUUGAUAAGAGGCCCAGCCUGCCCAGUGACGUUCAACGGCCGCGGUAUUCUAACCGUGCGAAGGUAGCGUAAUCACUUGUUUUCUAAAUAAAGACCAGUAUGAAAGGCAUCACGAGGAUUAAGCUGUCUCCUUUUUCCAAUCAGUAAACCUAAUCUCCCCGUGAAGAAGCGGGGAUAAAAAUAUAAGACGAGAAGACCCUGUGGAGCUUAAAACAUUAUAACACUUGCACUAUAAUUAUAUGUUUUUGGUUGGGGUGACCAUGGAGAAAAACUAAUCCUCCAUAAAGCAAUAAGUUACAACUUUAAGCAUCAAAAACCUGACAUAUCGACCCAAUAAAUUGAUCAAUGAACCAAGUUACCCCAGGGAUAACAGCACAAUCCACUUUGAGAGCUCCUAUCGACAAGUGGGCUUAUGACCUCGAUGUUGGAUCGGGGUAUCCCAGUGGUGCAGCCGCUACUAAAGGUUCGUUUGUUCAACGAUUAAAACCCC